CAUGCAAGUCGAACGGAAAGGCCCCUUCGGGGGUACUCGAGUGGCGAACGGGUGAGUAACACGUGGGUGAUCUGCCCUGCACUUUGGGAUAAGCCUGGGAAACUGGGUCUAAUACCGAAUAGGACCGCGCGCUUCAUGGUGUGUGGUGGAAAGCUUUUGCGGUGUGGGAUGGGCCCGCGGCCUAUCAGCUUGUUGGUGGGGUAAUGGCCUACCAAGGCGACGACGGGUAGCCGGCCUGAGAGGGUGUCCGGCCACACUGGGACUGAGAUACGGCCCAGACUCCUACGGGAGGCAGCAGUGGGGAAUAUUGCACAAUGGGCGCAAGCCUGAUGCAGCGACGCCGCGUGGGGGAUGACGGCCUUCGGGUUGUAAACCUCUUUCAGUAUCGGCGAAGCUCCAGGAUUUUUCUUGGGGUGACGGUAGGUACAGAAGAAGCACCGGCCAAC
rnacentral:rRNA from 1 species